GUCCACACCCUAAACGAUGCGCACUAGAUUCGAGAGCCUCUGACGGUUAUCGGGUCGAAGCAAAAGUGUUAAGUGCGCCGCCUGGGGAGUACGGCCGCAAGGCUAAAACUCAAAGGAAUUGACGGGGGCUCACACAAGCGGUGGAGCAUGUGGCUCAAUUCGAAGCAACGCGAAGAACCUCACCCGGGUUUGACAUGCUGGGAUUAGUUCCCUGAAAGGGGAAUGACGCGGCUUUGCCGUGGAACCAGCACAGGUGCUGCAUGGCUGUCGU
rnacentral:rRNA from 1 species